rnacentral:ncRNA from 1 species
UUAUUGGAGAGUUUGAUCCUGGCUCAGGAUGAACGCUGGCGGCGUGCCUAAUACAUGCAAGUCGAGCGAAUGACGAGGAGCUUGCUCCUCUGAUUUAGCGGCGGACGGGUGAGUAACACGUGGGUAACCUGCCUGUAAGACGGGGAUAACUCCGGGAAACCGGAGCUAAUACCGGAUGAUAACGAGAAGCGCCUGCUUCUUUUUUGAAAGUCGGUUUCGGCUGACGCUUACAGAUGGGCCCGCGGCGCAUUAGCUAGUUGGUGAGGUAACGGCUCACCAAGGCGACGAUGCGUAGCCGACCUGAGAGGGUGAUCGGCCACACUGGGACUGAGACACGGCCCAGACUCCUACGGGAGGCAGCAGUAGGGAAUCUUCGGCAAUGGACGAAAGUCUGACCGAGCAACGCCGCGUGAGCGAUGAAGGCCUUCGGGUCGUAAAGCUCUGUUGUCAGAGAAGAACAAGUACCGGAGUAACUGCCGGUAC